rnacentral:rRNA from 1 species
CAAUAGCGUAUAUUAACGUUGUUGCAGUUAAAAAGCUCGUAGUUGGAUUUCUGGAGGGAGCGUCGGCCCGUAUUUACGAGUGCGUGACGUCUCUGUCCAUCCUUGCGGGAAGGCACGGCAUUGAUUUGUUGUGUCGGAUCGCAUCAUUUACUGUGAAAAAAUUAGAGUGUUCAAAGCAGGCUUUCGCUUGAAUACAUUAGCAUGGAAUAAUAAGAUAGGACUUUGGUGCCAUUUUGUUGGUUGAGCCUAAAGUAAUGAUUAAUAGGGAUAGUUGGGGGCACCUGUAUUGCGUUGUCAGAGGUGAAAUUCUUGGAUUUACGCAAGACAAACAGCUGCGAAAGCGUCUGCCAAGGAUGUUUUCAUUA